rnacentral:rRNA from 1 species
CACGUAAGGCGCUAGCGUUGUUCGGAAUCAUUGGGCGUAAAGGGCGUGUAGGCGGCCGCGCAAGUCUGGAGUGAAAUCCCCGGGCCCAACCCGGGGGCCGCUCUGGAAACUGCGCGGCUGGAGUCGCCGAGGCGGGGCCGGAAUUCCAGGUGUAGGGGUGAAAUCUGUAGAUAUCUGGAAGAACACCGGUGGCGAAGGCAGGCCCCGAGCGGACGACUGACGCUGAGGCGCGAAGGCGCGGGGAG